rnacentral:snRNA from 1 species
CUGCUCACGUUGGCAGCACAUAAACUAAAAUUGGAAUGAUACAGAGAAGAUUAGCAUGGCCCCUGAGCACGGAUGACAGACAAAUUUGUGAAGCAUUCCAUAUUUAA